rnacentral:tRNA from 1 species
GCAGUGGUGGUUCAGUGGUAGAAUUCUCGCCUUCCAUGCGGGAGACCGGGGUUCGAUUCUCGGCCAGUGGA